rnacentral:rRNA from 1 species
GCCCGCUCAGAAACUACAAAGGAAGUUCGACGGGGGCCCGCACAAGCGGUGGAGCAUGUGGUUUAAUUCGAUGAUACGCGAGGAACCUUACCUGGGCUCAAAUGUAUGUUGACGUAUUCUGAAAGGGAUACUUCUUCGGACAAUAUACAAGGUGCUGCAUGGUUGUCGUCAGCUCGUGCCGUGAGGUGUCGGGUUAAGUCCCAUAACGAGCGCAACCCCUAUCAUUAGUUGCCAUCAGGUCAAGCUGGGGACUCUAAUGAAACUGCCUACGCAAGUAGUGAGGAAGGUGGGGAUGACGUCAAAUCAGCACGGCCCUUACGUCCAGGGCUACACACGUGCUACAAUGGCCGGUACAGAGCGCAGCGAAGCCGCGAGGCAAAGCGAAUCGCAAAAAGCCGGUCUCAGUACGGAUUGGAGUCUGAAACCCGACUCCAUGAAGUUGGAAUCGCUAGUAAUCGCGCAUCAGCAUGGCGCGGUGAAUACGUUCCCGGGCCUU